rnacentral:lncRNA from 10 species
UUUCGGAGAGAUUAUCUUGGCUCCCAAACCAGGAACACUAUCAGAUCACCACUUGAAAAGAACACAGUUUUGAAAUUAUCUUUCAUUUCAUGUUGGAGAAGAACACUUGACCAGAAGAGAACAAGGAGGCAGAUGGUGGCUUCUGUGAGAAUGAUGAAGAAGACUCACAGACACUUCCAAGCUCCUGCCAUCAAUAGAUGGAGUCUGUUUCUUCGCUACUUGAGUCUGCGUGGCCUUGUACCCUGCUUUUACCAAUAGAAUGUGUGGAAGUUGCUGUAGGCCAGUGCUGAACCUGGUCCUCUAGAGCAGGGGUUCCCAACCCCCACACUACAGACUGGUACUGGUCAGUGGCCCAUUAGGAACUGGGCUGCACCGCGGGAGGUGAGCAGCAGAUGGGACCGUCUAGUUGCAGGAAAAUAAGCUCAUAAUGAUUCUACAUUAUGGAUGAUUAAACUCCUUAAGAACAAGCCUGGCUGAGCCUGCUAGAGAAUGAGAGACCAAGUGGCAAAGUGACAAGAGUGAUACCAACUAAGUCUCCAGAGACUGAGAGCCCGGCCCAGAUGAGUAAAACUAGCUAAGCCACUUACCUGAACGAUGGCUAACCGCCAAUGCAUUAAGAACCCAGCCAAGACGAGAAAACUUGCCUACCUGAUCCCAGUUUAAACUGCUGACCUUAAAUAGCAUGAGCUAAAUAAAUGGCUGUUUCAAAGCACUGCA